rnacentral:sRNA from 1 species
GUACACUGAUCCAUCGAACAUCCCUUCCACUGCUCCGCCGACAUCCGAGUACAAUUGAUGGUUUAACACCAGAACGACCAUUUUUUAGCAGUUCAAAUACACAAG